GUCCAGACUCCUACGGGAGGCAGCAGUGAGGAAUAUUGGGCAAUGGGCGCAAGCCUGACCCAGCAACGCCGCGUGAAGGAAGAAGGCUUUCGGGUUGUAAACUUCUUUUCUCAGGGACGAAGAAAGUGACGGUACCUGAGGAAUAAGCCACGGCUAACUACGUGCCAGCAGCCGCGGUAAUACGUAGGGGGCAAGCGUUAUCCGGAUUUACUGGGUGUAAAGGGAGCGUAGACGGCAUGGCAAGCCAGAUGUGAAAUACCGGGGCUCAACCCCGGGACUGCAUUUGGAACUGUUAAGCUGGAGUGUCGGAGAGGCAGGCGGAAUUCCUAGUGUAGCGGUGAAAUGCGUAGAUAUUAGGAGGAACACCAGUGGCGAAGGCGGCCUGCUGGACGAUAACUGACGUUGAGGCUCGAAAGCGUGGGGAGCAAACAGGAUUAGAUACCCUCGUA
rnacentral:rRNA from 1 species